CGAGGAAAUACACUUACACCAGUCUGUCCCCACCCUCUCCCCCCUCCGCCCCCGCCAAGUGUUGACAAUAAACAUUUAAUGAAGGCAGGGACCUGGCUGUCUCCAGUCAGUGUCAGAAUACUUUAAGCAGACCAUUAGCACGGCUUCUUCCACUUCAAACGUCGCGCUCUACACUCUUAACAUUAUAUUAAAAAAACAAAACAAAACAGAACAAAGUGUGAGACGAAUAAUAUGUUUAUAUGGAUAUCUGAAGCGGUCUGCAGUAGUUCUGAUACCCCCUGUGUUUAUUAACAGAAAGUAACUCAUUGUAGAUUACUCGCGCUUAAAAAAUGUUAAAUACAGUUAAUGCAAUAUUAAUCGCCCUUUGGUGAUAUAAAAUGCAAUAUUUUCAGACAGCUAUCGAGCUUUUCUAGAGGAAGAGCUGAUGAAAAGAGUCACAGCUGAAUAGUGGAGAGAAAAAGCCCGGUAUUUAUUGCUUUUGUUUGGCUUUUGGCUACAGAGACAGGAACCUUCUAAUGGGAACUCCAGUGAUGCCACCUGGUCCUGUGCCACAUCACAUGCAGCCCUGAAGAGCAGUGUCAUCUGCUCUUCCUGCAGGUCACUGUCAAAGGUACUGACUACUAUCAAUCCUCACAUCACACUCAUCAGUCCAUCAGUCUCUUCCUCAGCCCCAGUUCUGACUCUGGCUAAUUGUAGCACCGCAGUUGUCAUCACAUCCACAUGGGAACCAUAAGCAGUUUGUUCCUUGUCCUUCUAAAAUAAAAACACCUGAUAUGUAGUCAUUCCUUACAUUCCAACAUUUAGUUGUUAAGAAUCAGUUGGGCCCCUCCUGGGGCACCUGCGUGGCUCAGUUGAUCAAGCAUCCAACUCUUGAUUUCAGCUCAGGUUGUGAUCUCAGGAUGAUGAGAUCGAGCCCACCUCAGGUUCUAAGCUCAGUGUGGCCUUUGCUUGAGUUUCUCUCUCCCUCUCCCUCUCUCUCCACCCUUUGUGGCCACUCUCUC
rnacentral:lncRNA from 1 species